rnacentral:rRNA from 1 species
UACGUAGGGGGCGAGCGUUGUCCGGAUUUAUUGGGCGUAAAGAGCGUGUAGGCGGCUAGGUAGUAGUCGUUGAAUGAACUCGAGGCUCAACCUCGAGACGUCGAGUGAAACCAUCUGGCUAGAGUCCGGAAGAGGAGAGUGGAAUUCCUGGUGUAGCGGUGAAAUGCGCAGAUAUCAGGAAGAACACCCGUGGCGAAGGCGGCUCUCUGGACGUACUGACGCUGAGACGCGAAAGCGUGGGGAGCGAAACAGG